rnacentral:rRNA from 1 species
GACGAACGCUGGCGGCGUGCUUAACACAUGCAAGUCGAACGGAAAGGCCCUUCUUUUGUGGGGUGCUCGAGUGGCGAACGGGUGAGUAACACGUGAGUAACCUGCCCUUGACUUUGGGAUAACUUCAGGAAACUGGGGCUAAUACCUGAUAGGAGCUCCUGCUGCAUGGUGGGGGUUGGAACGUUUCGGCGGUUGGGGAUGGACUCGCGGCUUAUCAGCUUGUUGGUGGGGUAGUGGCUUACCAAGGCUUUGACGGGUAGCCGGCCUGAGAGGGUGACCGGCCACAUUGGGACUGAGAUACGGCCCAGACUCCUAAGGGAGGCAGAAGUGGGGAAUAUUGCACAAUGGGCGGAAGACUGAUGCAGCAACGCCGCGUGCGGGAUGACGGACUUCGGGUUGUAAACCGCUUUCGCCUGUGACGAAGCGUGAGUGACGGUAAUGGGUAAAGAAGCACCGGCUAACUACGUG